rnacentral:rRNA from 1 species
ACCUGCCCUAUGAUAAUUAUUAUUAAAUGGCCGCGAUAUUUUGAUCGUGCAAAGGUAGCAUAAUCAUUAGUUUUUUAAUUGAGAACUGGAAUGAAAGGUUGAACGAAAAAAGAACUGUCUCAGUUUUAUAUAAUUAGAAUUUUAUUUUUAAGUAAAAAAGCUUAAAUGUAUUUAAAAGACGAGAAGACCCUAUAGAGUUUUAUAUUUAUGAAUUUAAAAAAAAAUAUAGUAUAAUAAAUUUUUAUUUAUAUAAUAAGUAUUUGGUUGGGGUGAUUAAAAAAUUGACAGAACUUUUUUUAUUUAAUAACAUUAAUAUAUGAAAAAUUGAUCCAUAUUUUAUGAUUAAAAGAUUAAAUUAC